CCUACGGGAGGCAGCAGUGGGGAAUAUUGGACAAUGGGGGCAACCCUGAUCCAGCCAUGCCGCGUGUGUGAAGAAGGCCCUCGGGUUGUAAAGCACUUUCAGCGAGGAAGAACGCCUAGCGGUUAAUACCCGCUAGGAAAGACAUCACUCGCAGAAGAAGCACCGGCUAACUCCGUGCCAGCAGCCGCGGUAAUACGGAGGGUGCAAGCGUUAAUCGGAAUUACUGGGCGUAAAGCGCGCGUAGGUGGCUUGAUAAGCCGGUUGUGAAAGCCCCGGGCUCAACCUGGGAACGGCAUCCGGAACUGUCAAGCUAGAGUGCAGGAGAGGAAGGUAGAAUUCCCGGUGUAGCGGUGAAAUGCGUAGAGAUCGGGAGGAAUACCAGUGGCGAAGGCGGCCUUCUGGACUGACACUGACACUGAGGUGCGAAAGCGUGGGUAGCAAACAGGAUUAGAUACCCUGGUAGUCCACGCCGUAAACGAUGUCGACCAGCCGUUGGGUGCCUAGCGCACUUUGUGGCGAAGUUAACGCGAUAAGUCGACCGCCUGGGGAGUACGGCCGCAAGGUUAGAACUCAAAUGAAUUGACGGA
rnacentral:rRNA from 1 species